rnacentral:tRNA from 3 species
GCCGAGGUAGCUCAGUCGGUAGAGCACAGCACUGAAAAUGCUGGUGUCCCCAGUUCGAGUCUGGGCCUCGGCACCA